GAUGAACGCUGGCGGCGUGCAUAACACAUUCAAGUCGAACGAAGUUAAAUGCGUAGCAAUACAAGUUUAACUUAGUGGCCGACGGGUGAGUAUCGCGUGAGCAACCUGCCUUUGUGAGGGGGAUAACGUUUGGAAACGAACGCUAAUACCGCAUGAAGCAUAAGAGAUCGCAUGGUCUUAAUGCCAAAGAUUUAUCGCACAAAGAUGGGCUCGCGUCUGAUUAGAUAGUUGGUGGGGUAACGGCCUACCAAGUCGACGAUCAGUAGCCGGACUGAGAGGUUGAACGGCCACAUUGGAACUGAGAUACGGUCCAG
rnacentral:rRNA from 1 species